ACUGUAAAUGUGUGCUUCUUAGUCCCUUCACCUCCUUCACCCAGUUUCCCAAUCCCCCUACUCUCUGGCAACCCCCAGUUAACUCUCUGUGGAGUGCCUGACAUA